GAGUUUGAUCUUGGCUCAGGAUGAACGCUGGCGGCAUGCCUAAGACAUGCAAGUCGAACGAAGUGGCCCAAUGAAGAUGAAGUGCUUGCACGGAUUUGGAUUUGGAUUCCCACUUAGUGGCGAAAGGGUGAGUAACACGUGGGUUAUCUGCCUUCGAGUCUGGAAUAACAGUUAGAAAUGAUUGCUAAUGCCGGAUGAUAUAUAUUUGGAUACGUCCUUAUAUAUUAAAAGGAGCCUUUAAAGCUUCGCUUGAAGAUGAGCCUGCG
rnacentral:rRNA from 1 species